rnacentral:rRNA from 1 species
GACGAACGCUGGCGGCGUGCUUAACACAUGCAAGUCGAACGGAAAGGCCCUGCUUUUGUGGGGUGCUCGAGUGGCGAACGGGUGAGUAACACGUGAGUAACCUGCCCUUGACUUUGGGAUAACUUCAGGAAACUGGGGCUAAUACCGGAUAGGAGCUCCUGCUGCAUGGUGGGGGUUGGAAAGUUUCGGCGGUUGGGGAUGGACUCGCGGCUUAUCAGCUUGUUGGUGGGGUAGUGGCUUACCAAGGCUUUGACGGGUAGCCGGCCUGAGAGGGUGACCGGCCACAUUGGUCCUGAGAUACGGCCCAGACUCCUACGGGAGGCAGCAGUGGGGAAUAUUGCACAAUGGGCGGAAGCCUGAUGCAGCAACGCCGCGUGCGGGAUGACGGCCUUCGGGUUGUAAACCGCUUUCGCCGGUGACGAAGCGUGAGUGACGGUAAUGGGUAAAGAAGCACCGGCUAACUACGUG